rnacentral:rRNA from 1 species
UGGUCAAGUUAUUAAGGGUGCAGGGCGGAUGCCUUGGCACUAGGAGCCGAUGAAGGACGUGAUAAGCUGCGAUAAGCUUCGGGGAGUUGCACGUAAACUUUGAUCCGAAGAUUUCCGAAUGAGGAAACUCACUUAGAGUAAUGUCUAAGUAUCAUUAAGU